AUGAACGCUGGCGGCGUGCUUAACACAUGCAAGUCGAACGAAGCAUUUAAGACGGAUUUUUUCGGAAUGAAGUUUUUUAUGACUGAGUGGCGGACGGGUGAGUAACGCGUGGGUAACCUGCCUCACACAGGGGGAUAGCAGUUGGAAACGACUGGUAAUACCGCAUAAGCGCACAGCUUCGCAUGAAGCGGUGUGAAAAACUCCGGUGGUGUGAGAUGGACCCGCGUCUGAUUAGGUAGUUGGUGAGGUAACGGCCCACCAAGCCGACGAUCAGUAGCCGACCUGAGAGGGUGACCGGCCACAUUGGGACUGAGACACGGCCCAGACUCCUACGGGAGGCAGCAGUGGGGAAUAUUGCACAAUGGAGGAAACUCUGAUGCAGCGACGCCGCGUGAGUGAAGAAGUAUUUCGGUAUGUAAAGCUCUAUCAGCAGGGAAGACAGUGACGGUACCUGACUAAGAAGCUCCGGCUAAAUACGUGCCAGCAGCCGCGGUAAUACGUAUGGAGCAAGCGUUAUCCGGAUUUACUGGGUGUAAAGGGAGUGUAGGUGGUAUCACAAGUCAGAAGUGAAAGCCCGGGGCUCAACCCCGGGACUGCUUUUGAAACUGUGGAACUGGAGUGCAGGAGAGGUAAGUGGAAUUCCUAGUGUAGCGGUGAAAUGCGUAGAUAUUAGGAGGAACACCAGUGGCGAAGGCGACUUUCUGGACAGUAACUGACGUUGAGGCACGAAAGUGUGGGGAGCAAACAGGAUUAGAUACCCUGGUAGUCCACACCGUAAACGAUGGAUACUAGGUGUAGGGUGUGAUAAACGCUCUGUGCCGUCGCAAACGCAGUAAGUAUCCCACCUGGGGAGUACGGCCGCAAGGUUGAAACUCAAAGGAAUUGACGGGGGCCCGCACAAGCAGUGGAGUAUGUGGUUUAAUUCGACGCAACGCGAAGAACCUUACCAGGGCUUGACAUAUACAGGAAUAUGCUAGAGAUAGUAUAGCUCUUCGGAGUCUGUAUACAGGUGGUGCAUGGUUGUCGUCAGCUCGUGUCGUGAGAUGUUGGGUUAAGUCCCGCAACGAGCGCAACCCUUAAGCUUAGUUGCCAUCAUUAAGUUGGGCACUCUAAGUUGACUGCCGGUGACAAACCGGAGGAAGGUGGGGAUGACGUCAAAUCAUCAUGCCCCUUAUGACUUGGGCUACACACGUGCUACAAUGGCGUAAACAAAGUGAAGCGAGAGCGUGAGCUUAAGCAAAUCACAAAAAUAACGUCUCAGUUCGGAUUGUAGUCUGCAACUCGACUACAUGAAGCUGGAAUCGCUAGUAAUCGCGAAUCAGAAUGUCGCGGUGAAUACGUUCCCGGGUCUUGUACACACCGCCCGUCACACCACGAGAGUUUGUAACACCCGAAGCCGGUGGAGUAACCAUUUGGAGCUAGCCGUCGAAGGUGGAACAAAUGAUUGGGGUG
rnacentral:rRNA from 1 species